CAAUGGCUUCAUUUGCCUUAUCCUUAGGCGGCACCUGCUUAAGAAAGGGCUUGGAAUUGGCACUGCAACAUAACCUUUUGCCACUAGAAAUAGAAACUGACUCGACACAUGUAAUUAAACUUUUGGAAGAUGGCCUCACCACUUGCAACUCUAUCUUUCAGAUGGUUGAUGUCCAAGAAGGGGAGGGAGCUGGUGCUCCGGCAUAACUUUCGACGAGGAACGAAGUAGCUCACAUGUUGGCGCAGGAAGGAACUAGGCAACCCGAUCCAGAUAACUUAAUGUGUUUUGUAGUCCCGCACCAUUAUUGAGUCCAGGAUGCUGGCGGACAAGGAGGGUUUCUCUUCUACUAAUAAGUUAGUCGUUGAAAGUAUCUUUAAGGAGCUUGCUAAACUAGGAAAUCUGAAUGUCAUGGAAGGCAUCUCAGUUGUAUAUAACAAUCCCAUGGAUCCUACGUUCGUAGUAUUAAUGAAUAAAUUAUUCCAGUUUCUCCAAAAAAAAAGAAGAUUAGGUCCUAUAUGGUUUCAAACAUAAGCACAAAUCCUUAAAGUGGACUCCAAAUCCGAACUCCAAUUUGGCCCGUUUAGGCCCAAUUUGAAAGUACGCAAGAGUUUCUCGACUUUCUUCGACCAAGUUCGUGAACCUUCUCCUCUGUGGAGAACUCACUCGGAAUCUCUUUCUCCCGCGAAUUGCAGUUGUACGUUUCCUUCUUUGCACUAAUUUUUACAAGUUAUUGUGCAUCUUUAUUUGCUUCUAUGGUAAUGGCUUCUAAGUUGUGAGAUGUAUAAUCUAGCUUUUCAGUCUUAGUUAUCAGUUGUGAAUAUUUCUCUAAGACAAGGGAAACAGAGAGUUAGGAAACAAACAAUUGAUAAUCAAAAGAACUUAUUUCUAAGACAACCUCCAGUCGUAGUUUGGGUGAAAGUUGUAAAAUUCAAUGUCAUUCUAUUCCAAACAACUGAUUCUAUAUAAGAAUCGUACAGGAUUGAGUUAAGGUACCUAGUGAGAUAAAAUACUUCUAUCCAUAAGGUCUAUUGAGUUAAAGUUAGGUCAUUAGAGAACUUUAUAUUCCAUAUUGAUAAUAAUGAUAAGUUUUUUCGAAGACUCUUAACCAAAUCUUUUUGUAUGAUAAAACUUGUUUCUAUAACGAAUACUACAAUCUCAAUGUACAUUGAUAAUAACUGAAACUCUAUUACAAUUACUAGUAGCCUAACGCUCAAAUUAUAGGAUAACUAUGGAAAUACUGAAUAUAGACAACUAUGGAUGUACGAGAAGACACACAGGUAGAAGAACGGAGACGAGAAGCUUAGACUCAGAGAAAGGGGUUGAGGGGAACAGACAUUUUUCUUUAACAAUUUGUCUACCCCCAAAAUCUCAGACCACCGCCCCUUUUGGCAGAACCGUUACACCCACCACUCCACCUGCAUCCCAAAUUAACCUGGCCUAGAGCCCAUUUAGAUUGGCUUAAAAAAUGGCUUUUAAGUACAAGUACUUAAAAGCAGCUUUUAAGUGUUGGAGCUUAUUUUAUAAAUAAGCAGUUACAUAUUUGGAUAAAAAUGUUGAAGCUUAAAAAAAGUUGUUGAAGUGUUUGGCAAAUUAAUGUUGGUAAGCACUUUUUCUUAUUAAAAAGACAAAACUAUCUUUAAAACUGUUAACAUUACGGUGAUAUGAUACAUCACUUUAUUUUUAAUUAGAGGUAGAGUGUAAAAAAAUAUAAAAAUAAUUGAAAGAAAACACUUUCUCUUUUAAUUGGUUUUGUCUAAUCUGGAGCGUAAAUCCAAAUUCAUUAGAAUCCGAAUAUUGUUGUAAAAUAACAGUUAAAAAAUCAAAAAAGAAAGAAAAGAUGGGAGUAUUAUACUUAAUUAUUAGAAUCCGAAUAUUGUUGUUUUGCUUGUUUUGGAUGCACACAAAAUAUAUUUAAUUUCCCCGAUUGAGGAAAUAAUGUAGCUAACGAGAUCGUGAUAUUGGUUUUGCUUUUUCAGCUUUAGAAAGGAAGAUGGAGUUUCCUAAUGAAGAAUUUGAGUCAUCUAAUUCUCAGAGAAAAUCAGGAAGAGGAAAGAUGAAGAGGAAAGAAGAGAGCGGAAGAGUGAAUGAAAUAGGAGUAGAAUGUUUUAGGGUUUUUUUGACUGAAGGUAAUUUUGGUAUUAUAAAAACUUAUAAGGGACAAGAGAGUAAUUUCAUUGGUCAAACUAAAAUGGCUUUUAAGCAAAAAUAAAAAAAGUUGGGGUAAGCCAACUUGUUGCUUUUAACUUUUUUAAGCAGUUUUUUUUUGCCAAUCACUCCAUUAAUAAAAAAAGUGCUUACCAGCUUUUAAGCCCAUCCAAAUACCCUCCUAGUUGUUUGUUCUCGGCCCAGUACCUCUUCUCAGUCCAGUAUCAACUUGUGUGACAUUGGACUGGGACUGAUUCAUAAUAGUUUCUGACCUAAAAAUUGACCACCACAUUUAUUUAUUUAUUUAUUUAUUUGAUGAUAGAUAAAUUUGUCGGGGCAACGCUUAGGUCUAACUGCAUUGUUUGAACCUCGGGGAUAAUGAGUCCGCACCUUUACCCUGCUCCACUUAAAUACCAUAUUAGACUUAGUUCGCAUGGAUCGAACUUUGACUUGAGUAACAAGUCCCUCAACCUUUGCCACUUGAACUAAGCUUAUUUAUUUGUUUUUGAAGAAGAAUAAAAAUUUGACCACUUACUGAACUAGAAAGAAACUGGAAGAAGGGGAAAUGGGAAAAAUUCAGCUGUUUGAUCAGUCUAUAUACCAGCAGCCUGCUCUAGAAAGAAUAAUAAAUACUUCAGUGUGUUGGUAUCUAAGACAUGCCUGAUUGUACACAUUGAUGCACUACUUAGUUUGAAGUGUCUAUUGUCACAUUACAGGUAAUUGUAUUGGGAAAAAUUG
rnacentral:lncRNA from 1 species